UAGCACAAAUAAACCCUGACACUCAACAACUCCCCGAGUGCCUGCCGCCCCGGGAGGAGAGUACAGAUUGGUUAUGAAUCCGGCCGGCCGCGCGUGCUGCACACCCGCCCCGGAGUUCUCGAAAGUGCACGACAUGGACCGUUGGGUGUUUACUUAAGAUAAGAGCUACGGAGCCGCCAGAGCGGCCAAGCUGCCUCCCAGGCGAUGAGCAGCACGGCCCCAAAGACCCCCCAGAGCCUAAGGUCCCGAUCUCGGCGCAAUGUCAGGUGCGCGGCGCACCUGCAGCUAGGUUACGCUGAGACAUCUUAACUCGGAGUGGAGUUCGUCCCAACGGCCUCGCCUGAUCAUCGGUCACCGCAAAGGCCUCCCUUGUAACAACAAAGCCAGAAAGAAAGGCUUAUGCUUCCUUGUUCGUCACAGCCCCGCCAGACUCAGAUGUCACAGUCAACUCUGCAAAUCAGUUGUGAAAACACGACUAUAAAAGGAUUCCGUGAGGGUUUCAGAAAAGGGGCAGUACAGGAAGCUUGUUUUGAAAAUCCAAAUCUUACCUGGGCCAAUUAUGGCUUCUUGGAAGAGAGAAAGAGGUAAUAACUGAACAUAAGCGAAAGAGGAAACUUUUCCUGGAGGCAAGAGAGGAGGCUGAGCUUAAUUCUCGCUGGCACAGGAAUGAGUGGCAACAUCAAGGUCACCGUCAGAAAUCAUUCACGGAAUACCUACUGGGCAAGAAACUUCAGUCGAGGCUGGGAGGGAAGGGAAAACGAGGAAGAGACAGUGAUUUCGCCCCUUCAGCCUGCAGAGGUAUGAGGCUCAGGUCUGGGAAGUUGGCCAACCGGUCGAGAUGACUAAGUAGAGGAUAUGAACGAUUUUUCAACCUCCCCAAAUAUGGCCCCCCUCUGGCUCCCUUCACCACCAUAUUGUCCAAGCUCACCAGGCAUAAAGGACCAGCAUGAGGAAAAUGCUCUCUCUAGAUUAAGACUGAGGGAAAAGUGGCCACUGAAGCCUUGUAGAAAUUCCCAAAUUUGUGAAACAAGAGCCUCGUCCAAUGUCUCAUCUGCUACCUCUUCCAAAGAUCCUGUCCAUAAUCGGCCGGUAUACAUGUAUCCAAUUAAAAAGGAUAUUCAGCUCUUGCUCCAUAUCUAAUUCCCUUAAAAAUCCAAAAUGUUGGCCAGGGUACUUUACUCCUGCUGACCCAGGACACGUGCCUGUGCUGUGUGUCAAUGUUUAAGGUAGCUCUGAAAGUAAAUAAAUUCUGUGCUCCCAAGUACCUCAGGGCCUGAACAAGAAGGCUGAUGGAUCAAAAAUCAGGCAACUAGCCUAAAAGAAAUUAAAUAUACUUGGCCUCCCCUCUAUGCCAACAUUCAUUUUGGUUUCCAUGGGAAAGAGCUUUGAAUAUGUUUGCUCGGAGGCAAAUUCGCAUCUGCUUUUAUGUCUACUGAUACACGUCUAAAAAACAAAAUUGAAAUAUAGUUUUAAGCAAUUCACUCUCUGAUCGUGUUGAUUAGUGUCCCCAGCCAGUGUGAACAGCUCAGGCACCCAGUCUCAGAAGAAGAAAAAAAAAAAAAAUACAAGGAUGUCUUCAGUAGCCGGCUUCUAUGUGAAUUACUAGACAACUGCCUUGCCCCUCUACGUUGCCUUUUCAGGAAUAAUCUUUCAGAACUGAAGGGAAAUUAAUAAGGAAAUGCUGGGUAGAAGGGAGCAAUGGAGGGAGAGAAGAAAGAAGAGAAGAGGGUUAGCUGUCCAUCCUAGCAAAGACGAGUAAUAAUGCAAAGCCAGAGCAGGAUCAGUAUGUGCACAGAGCGGGACACCGGCUGGAGAAGAAAGCCAGCAGAAGCACAGCAAGAUGACAUCCAGAUGAAAUGCUGAGGCGCGGAAACAGUCAGGUAGCUCGUAUGGCGGGUCUGAUGUAAUGUAUACGGAGAUUCAUGUUUAUUGAUUCUGGGCCAAGCUUCAUCCCCAAAGCCCAUCAUCACUACCACCAUCCGAGGGCACGCAAAAUACAGAGCCAAAACCCUCACUUUUCCCUAGCAUGUCUCAAGUCCCAAUCCUCCUGUGGUGUGUAGGAGGGGAUGCCUGGCCCCAUCUCCUGCUGCUGUCAUUCCCUCAUGUCCAGGCAUGAAUGAAGCCAGAAUUGUGGGGGACUUUUUCCCACAAGAAUCCAGGUCCCUGUGUUGUUACUCAACUUCAUACAGCCGGUGCCACAUGUAAUUCACGGGCUAAUUACACCCAAGAACCACGCUAUUGCUCAGCUCACAAGAAGAGAGAGAAUGAGGAAACUCUUCUGAUUGGACAACAGUUUUCCAGGGGAUGUGAGUCUUGCUGUUGUGGUUACUUAAGUUUCAUGUUGACGCUUGCUUUGACUUCGGACUCUUGGAUUACCUUGGAUAUCUUGGAUACCUUGGAUUAUCUUGGAUAUCUUCGGACUCUUGGAUAUCUUGGAUCUCUAUGUUAUACACUCGAUGACCUCUGCCAUGAACCGCUGGUUACACCCACAGAAAUGGUAGAAACGCAGUUGUCCCCUCACUCCCUAAUCCUAUGCCCCUGAUGCCCCAUACACCACUCUCGCCCUGUUUAUCCAAAUUGCCACCACCGGGGCAGCAAAUUUACCAAUCCGCUAAACAAGGAAGCUAGAAGCAGCACAGAAGAGAGACAUAUUCUAUUCCCAGGAUCCUGUUCUCAACCCAGAUGGUCUGUUGGGCACGUUGCCUAAACUGUAUCGCUCUCACAUUCCCCAUUUGUACAAAGUAAUAACAAGCCACAGGUGAUUAUGAGGAACCAAUUUACAGGGGUAUGAAUAGCCUCUGAAAAAUGCAGAGUACUAGAGAAAGGCAAACUAAAGGUAAGCCACGGUGUUGAAGUAUAAAAUGUAUAUCCUGGUUUGACAUUAGUGUGCUAACUUUCUCGAACACUGAAGACACGUUGGGGUGUGAUUCAAGGAUUCAACACUUCAUGCUAAGGAAGACUCCGGAUGUCGAUACCAAUCAAUCUAGAUGGUACACCACCAGAAAUGGCAAUAAAACAAGUUGUCAAAGAUAAAUACGUCGAGACACAUUCUUUCCCA